CAUAAAUACUUGUUGAAUGUGAUUUUAAAAAGAAGAGGCCAAAUCAGGUGAAAGCAGAGUGACCUCACAUUUCCUCAUUCAGUGCCAGACGUAGCCACACUGCAUGGCAAAGACUGAGAACACCCAGGAGGACUCGAUGUUUUGCAAUCUCAUUUUAACAAUAUAGAGACAGAUGCAUUUGGGCAGGGCCAGUACCACAGAAGCCAUUUGUAUUUCGGAUUUUGUACCGGUCAGUUCAGCUACCAGCUCCUCACUUCCAGUAAGUGGAUAUCCCCGUUAAUUUCCAGCGUGUCAAUACUGCUGAGCUCUUUAAACCUGUGCUUGUAUUCCAGGCUGUGUACACCAUUUAUCGCAACCUUGAAUUCUCUAACAUCACAAUAAAUUAUCAUCUGAAAGGAAAGGAAACAUACCAUUAGUCGUUCCCCUUAGUUUAAAAAUCGUUGUUUGUUGCACACUAACAGUGUGUCAGAGUAAACCCUUUGGUUUGCUUUAUACACAGAGAAGCUCUCUUGGCCUGCUGCUGUUGACUUCCCUUCUGUGAUUUCUAAGACCCCAGUGGCACCUUCUGCCUUGUCUCACUCAGGAGCCGUGGAAAUGGCUGCCAAGGAAAAUCGGGAACAGGGGGACAUUGUGUGGAUCAUACAAAAUGAAGGCUCUGGGUCUACCGAGAGAAUCGGGGGGAGCAGAUACACGUGGAAGUUGAUUUGCCAACGCACUGACUGAUGUUCAGUGUCUACAAAUACUUGCUGACAGCACUAGUCACCAGGUGAGAGCGAGACAGUUCAUUUACACAAG